rnacentral:lncRNA from 1 species
UAGAGAACUUUAUUUUUACCUUGUUAAAUUUGCAGCUGCAGCUCCUUCUGCCAUUACAAGUGUCAAGAGUUGAGGUUUGCGUUGCUUUUGCUAUGUUUUGCUUUUAUAAGCGCUUGAGGGUACAAUGGAAUGGAACAAAUAAAACUUUCCCAAAGCAGUUUGUCAGAACUCAAAAGCGUAAAACAGAGUUCGUCAGAUAUGAGCAGUUUGUCACAGAGUUUCUCA